UCUUUUGUAUUGUCUUGAGCAAGAUUUUGAAUUAAUAUUAACAGCUUUUCUUUAUUUUCUUUAGUACAUUAAAUAAGAUUCAAACCAUCUCACAGAUUGAAAAAUGUUUUUGUAUAACUUCACAAUAUUUUUCAUCAUUUUGGUAUAUCAAAAUGAUGUGAGAUUCUCAAAUGAUUUCUUGAUACUUUGACAAGUUUUCAAUAACACUUAUUACAAUGGAAAAGCGUUUGCUUUCGAUUUGUACCUCACGUCUGGCAAAUGGAUAUGUUUAAAAAUCUUUAAAAAAGACGAAAAAUGCCUCCAUUGUCAAAUUUUGAAUACUCCAUAUGUUAGUCUCUUUUUUGUAUGGGUAUAGAAUAAACAUAUUCAAGUACAAAACUAUAGAGCUUUUAUUUAAUUGGUAAAUUCUAUUCAAAUGAGAACAUCUGAAAAAUCCCCAGAUAAACUUUUAGCGAAAUUUUCAUGGAGAUGAAAUUUUUGCAUAAUCAAAAUCAAAUGCUUUGUGCCUUGAUAAAAGUUAAUUUUGGUUAAUCGGUUAUUGUAUAGAAAAGCUAAUGGUCUGUGAAAUGUUAUAUUUAUAUAAAUUAAUCACCAGUUUAUCAUGUCAUCAGAAUGUGCAAUUGUUAUUUUAUAUUAAAUGCAUGAUGUAUAUAAUUGCUGUCAAAAAAAGGUGUGCUUUGUGUAUGUGAGAGUGAAUAUCUUACUUCCUUGUUGGGUUGAGAGUGUCCAUAUGUUUGUCAAGUGUGAGUUAUCUUCUACAAGGUUUUGAGUAAUCAGAGCAUGCAUGUAAAGUAAUUUUGUGAUUAGAUUUUACAGAAUGAAAAUUUUACUAUAUGUAAUUUUGCUUGUAUUAUGUUAGAUUUUUUUAUGUGUGAGGACAAUAGUGUUGAUUAAAACACUUUCUUCUUUCUCUCAUGUCUUCCCCCGUUUUAUCCUGUUUUGUCAUGUUUGAUUUAAGGCUUAUAAUGAAAGUAUGAUACUCUCACAUUGUUGAAUCAUAGUAGUCGAUUAUCUCCCUUUAGUAAAACAACAAAAUAAGGGGGAGAUAAUUUUUGAUUGGCCGAAGGCAUCAUAAAUCUGGAGCAAUAAAAAGCUGUACAUCUCCCUAUUAUGCAUUGAAUAUAUGGAGAGAAAUAAAUGCAGAAAAGGGAACAUUGAGGAUUUAGAUUUUAUUUCUUUGUUAAUUUUAAAUAUUACAGUGAUUUGAAAAAAAUCUCACAAUAGUCACAAAAAAUUCUGCUGCAAGUAUUUUUUUUAUAUAGUUGAUUAUGCUCUGCAUAACAAUGAAAUAAUGAGGGUUUAUAUUGUUUUGUUUUGUUUAAAAAGCAAACAGGGUGUAAAUUUACAGACAUGUAUAUGAAGGAUUUGUGGGCAUUUAACUGUGUAGUCUUAGUGCCCCAGUGAGUAUGUACUGACUGUAUGAAUCAAGCCGUUUACAUGUGUUGGUGAAUGUAUGCCUAAUCAAUAUUUCUUAGCUUAGAUUGCAAGAUAUAAAAACAUGUUUUAAAAAUAUUUACACUAUUAUGCAUUCAGAACAUAGCAAUUGGAGUAUAUAAAGCAUGUUUUUUGGGGUUUUUUUCUUUCUUUUUAUUUUAUGAAAUUUAAAAAAUAUGCAGAUUGGAAUUUGAACCUUGGUUUAUUUUUACACGAUGAAUAAUGAAUAUGCAGUUCAAAAUUCUCAACCCCGGUUAAUAUUGAUGAGGUUAAUCAUUAAUAUGCAGACUAGAAUCAUUUGCAUUAGAUAUCCUACUAAGGAUACCAGUAGAAAUAAAAGCCUAAUAUUAUGUCGUGGCUGUGCAAUGUUAUGUCAUGUCAUGGCUAUACAAUGUUAUGUCGUUGCUGUACAAUGUUAUGUCAUGGCUAUACAAUGUAAUGUCAUGGCUUUAUAAAGUUGUGUCAUGGCUUAACAAUGUUAUGUCCUGGCUGAACACUAACCAAUUUAAGCUAAACUAUAUGAACAGUGUAUUUUAUUACAGCAUACAAAUCAUGUGUAUCACAUAACACUCAGCAUAUGCAGUUUUGAUUUAUUUAUCUGAUAUUUGAUAAUUUUUCUUUUCAUCAGGUUGUAAUUGUCUCUGAUAUUUUAUAUUAUUACUAUAUAUUUUCACAUAACCAGACUUCUGUUUAUAAUAUUUAUUAACAUAUAGGUCUAGUCAGGUGAAAAUGAUACAACCCGCUUAUAGUUUUUUUUGUACGUUUGAAUGUCUUUAUGGCUCUGUGCAAUGUUCUGUCUAUAUGACAGAUUUUAUACAUAGAUUUUAAUGGUGCUUUAUUUGUUUGUUGCUAGUUGGUUUGUAGAAUUUUUACCACAAUUCCAAUUUUCAUGUUUGAUUCUUCACUUCAAAAGUUCUGUAAGAUUUGUCUAUUGGAAUUUGGUGAAAACUUCAAUAAAAUUUUACAUCUCAAAUUUAUAUUAAGUUUUAAAUUUUACAUCUAGAAUUAAUCAUUUAUAGUUUAAGUAAGUUAUGACUCGCAUGUAAAAUUUAUCUUAUGAUUUUUCAUUUAAUGACUGCAGCCUUUAAACAACACAUGCUGAAAUAAUUUUGGUAUAAAAAUUAUCAGCAGCAAGCCAUUUAAUAUAAGUUAUACAUCUUCAAUUUUCUUAUUUUUGACCAGCAGCAGAAUUUCUCAAGUGAAGAACCUACAUGAAAAUACAGUAUUUUUCACAAGCCAGUUUAACUUGUGAUUUACACUUGACUUUUAGAAGAAUAUAUUUUUCACUUAAGAUUAUGUAUGCUUUUCACAGUGUUUUCGUAAAACACGAUGAUGUCAAUAACAAUUUUAAAGUCAUAAUUUAUUAUGAAUGAAAUGUCACAAAUCUUUCUUAUGAGUUAAUGUCCAGAAUUUUUAAGUUGUAGAUGAACAAAUUUAAUUACAUGUAGGUCUGUUUCAAUUUUAGUUAUUGUUGAUCUAAGUUGUGUUUGCCUUUAGAAUACAAAAGUAUAAUUAAUUGAAAGUGAAGUCAAAGUACAGAUAUGAGAGUAGAAUUUCCUAUGAUUGAUUUUGUACAUUGGUCUGACUGGUGUAUAGAUGUUGACUUGAGAUAGAAUGCUUUGAAUGAUGUAAACUCAGUGUAGGUAAUCAUAUAACCUCACGUUAUAAAUAUGCUUAAAGUUGCUACAAAUAAGCAAAAUAGAAAAAAAAGAAAGGAUGGGAAUAUAUAGGUAGGGUAGUUUGUUUCUUCUUUGGAAAUUUAACUGAAUUGAAAUUCAAAACUUCCAACUAUUUGUUGUUAUUUCUCUAAAACCUGAUAGUUUUGAUUUGUCAUUUCUUUUUAUUCUAUGCAUUUAAAAAACCAUUUUUCUUUUGGUUUUUUUUUUUAAUCAAAAUUUCACUUUUUUUCUAGAAUACUGAAUACCUGUUCUUCCUAUUUUACAAGAAACCAGUAUUGUUACUAAAAUGCUGGUUCCUUUUUUGAGUUCUUCCUUACAGCAGAGCAGCAUUAUAUUUUUAGAUUAACCACUAGUCAAUGUUUAUGCCUUCUGUCUCUGUGGUAACCCUAUAACUUACACUGGGUUGGUAACUUGUUACAAAGCUAUAUAUAGAUGUCUAGCUUCAAACACCCAAAUAAACUGGCAAAAACUGAAAUUAUGUUGUUUUUAUUCACAUUUUGUAGUAAUUGGUUCUGAUUUUUUGAACAGGAUGUGAAAAUCUCUUAUGUGCACAUGAAAAAAUAGCAAAGGAAUAGUGCUUUUGUUGCUGUUCUUCAUCUAAAAUUCACAGUGAGGCCUUAAACACAGAGAAAAAAGCAGUUGUGUUUACUAAGUUUCAAUACUACAAUACACCAAACAAGAGUGCACAUGUUGAAAU
rnacentral:lncRNA from 1 species